rnacentral:rRNA from 1 species
UACGAAGGGUGCAAGCGUUACUCGGAAUUACCGGGCGUAAAGCGUGCGUAGGCGGUUUGUUAAGUCUGAUGUGAAAGCCCUGGGCUCAACCUGGGAACGGCAUUGGAAACUGGCUUACUAGAGUGCGGUAGAGGGGUGUGGAAUUCCCGGUGUAGCAGUGAAAUGCGUAGAUAUCGGGAGGAACAUCUGUGGCGAAGGCGACACCCUGGACCAGCACUGACACUGAGGCACGAAAGCGUGGGGAGCAAACAGG